rnacentral:rRNA from 1 species
UACGUAGGGUGCGAGCGUUAAUCGGAAUUACUGGGCGUAAAGGGUGCGCAGGCGGUCUCGUAAGCUGGGUGUGAAAGCCCCGGGCUUAACCUGGGAAUGGCAGUGGAAACUAUGGGACUUGAAUCUGGCAGAGGGGGGUGGAAUGCCACGUGUAGCAGUGAAAUGCGUAGAGAUGUGGCGGAACACCGAUGGCGAAGGCAGCCCUCUGGGCUGAGAUUGACGCUCAGGCACGAAAGCGUGGGGAGCAAACAGG